CGCAGUUGCAAAUGAGAACUUGUUCUCAACUAGCCUACCUGGUUAAAUAAAGUGAACUACCAAGAGAACAGUAAAAUGGAGUGUCCUGAAGAUCUCCAUGACAUCAGCCAUGGGAGAUAGUCAUCUUCAUUCUGCUCCCGACCAUUAUAAUGAAUCAGAGUGCAUCUCAGUCUGUCUGUUAAGGAUCCAAUUCUCAUAGAUGACGUGAGAUUACAUGGAAACACUUGUCUCGUGUUGAGCCUAUUCUGAAGCAGCAUUAUGGCAUUCAUAUUGUAACAUCAAAAGAGAGAUUGAUAGUAGGAAGACCUGAUAAAACCAUAGGAUCAAAUGCUAGCGGUCAUAUGUUUCACUGUAAACGUUAGACGGAUGGUUUACAGAUGGUGGAUAUCUUCCUGCGUAAAGAGUAGCUGCUGUUUAAGUAGGAACUUUAAUCAGAAUUAACGUCAGCUCUCAGAACUCGCUGAACUUUUUGGAUGAAUCAUUCUCGACAGUUAGCAGUCACCAAGUUCAUCCUGAAUGAAUUCACUGCACUGAGAACACAUGCACACAAAUACACACUCAGCCCUCCCUGCUUGAGCUUGGGCCAGUCACGGUGGGGGUCUGUAUCUGGGCAGUCCGAUCUAAAUAGGGUCAGCCACCCCACGGAGACACUGUAGCUCAAUACUAAAAGUGAGAUACUGUACAGUAGCAUCCUGUUUAAUCCGUAUGGCUGCAUGGCCUCUAACAUGGCUCUAAAUGCUAUAGUGUUGCCUUCCUCUGUGUGAUUGUAAUACAGCCCAUGUGUUUUAGAAAUAUUUCCACACUAUGAAGUUGGAAUAAUACUGUGAAAAUUGUGACAAUACCAUUUUAGUGUAAGAUUUGGUUGAAAAGCCUGAAAUUCAAGCCUGUUGCGGUGGGAUGGAGUUUUGGUCUGAACAUGAACAUCCUUUGUGCAUUGUUUGGUCACUCAAAUGACUUUGCCGUGAUCUGUCAAAGUUUCUGCGUGCGUUUCAGGGAGCAGCUGAGCAAGGAAACCCAACACUUCUAAAUAAGAUCGAGGCAGAGAUCUACGUUACAGAGGGGGAAAGUGGAGAGGUAGACGAUGAACAUCAAGUGAGACAGAUUGAGGCAGCAUCAAAGAAACCAGCGACACGGUUACUAGUAAAAAUGAGCUUUUAAAUCCUUAACAAGACAAGACAAACAAAUCAGAACUGUGCUGACAAAGGGAGUCGCCGGUAUUGGGAAAACCGUCUCUGUGCAGAAGUUCAUUCUGGACUGGACAGAAGGAAAAGCCCAUUCAUUGUUCCACUUCUUUUCUGAGAUUAACUUAAAUAAAGGGGGGGGGGAAACACAAUUUGAUGGGUCUUCUUAAAGGCCCAGUGCAGUCAAAGUGAUUUUCUUGUGUUUUAUGUAUAUUUCUACACUGAGGUUGGAAUAAUACUGUGAAAUUGUGAAAAUUAUGAUAAUGCCCUUUUAGCGUAGUAGCUUUUCAGUCUGUUGUGGUGGGAUGGAGUUCUUGCAUGCCUGGUGGCGUUAAAUUAGUUAAUAGACCAAUAAGAAAGGACGUUACAAACCUCUCUGCCAAUAACAGGUCAUUUUCAGGUUUCACCUCCCCACACCCAGGCAGUCCUAGUUAAAUUCUUGCUUUAGAAAUUGCCCUUUGCUAAGAUGCUAUUUUGGUUUCUUUUUGAUCAUUUUAAUUCAGAAAUGAUUUGAUUUUGAGAUAAUAAAAAAAAUGGCUGCAUUCGGCCUGUAAUGUUACAUCAGCUAACUGUAAGACCUGACCUGAGGUUGGGUAAGGACUUUCUGUUAAGUGGGUUUCCCAUAGAAUGGGCAAGUAAGUCUUAGAAAGGACAGGACAGACCUGCAUGGCUUUGAAUGAGAAUGUCUAUUUGAUUACACAGACCAUUCUACACAGAUUUUGAUUGAUCUAUAUUGGAAUUUAGAUGUAUUCAUGAUUUUGAUGCUCUUCCUGAGUACUUGCAUGUGUGCACUUUGCAUGUAGAGGGCAGUCCCAGGCUCCCAGACCUUGUUCUAUCCUUCAUUAGUUUUCAUGGUGAUGUGGGUUGACAUUUAAACUUAUCACAGCGGACCCCGGAGCAGCACUUCCCCUCGAUAACCACAGUAACAGGGUAAUUUGUUUUAAUCAGAAAGAAUUGGUUUAGAAACCCCAGCAGACCAGGGCCCUAUCGCCUACUCAGGAAAACACCUUCAAGGACGUAGAAGGACAACAGAGUGAAGGACAACAGGAAUGAACACAUGCAAGUGCACACACAGAUACAAACACACGCUCACUUACUCACACAUACACACAAACACACUCAUGCACUCAUACACACAACAAUUAAGGAUGCUCCCUCUUUGAAAGGACAAUAUGUAUAUGUGUGUGAGCUUGUGUUUGAGCUUAUGUUUGUGUUACCCAUAAAGAUUGAGAGUUC